GCGGUCACCUCAAAAGCCAGCAAGCAAUAUUUCCAAGAUCUCAUUCAAGGUUCUUUGAAUGCAGGAUGACUGGAUGACGAGUUGCAGGAUGACUUCUAUCUCAACCUGGUGGACUGGUCUGCUGGAAAUCUCUUGAGUGUUGGUUUGGGAGCCUGUGUUUACCUGUGGAGUGCCUGCACCAGUCAGGUGACGAGGUUGUGUGACUUGUCAGUGGAUGGAGACUCCGUCACAUCAGUGUGUUGGAAUGAGAGGG